rnacentral:rRNA from 1 species
UACGGAGGAUGCGAGCGUUAUCCGGAUUUAUUGGGUUUAAAGGGUGCGCAGGCGGCGUGUCAAGUCAGCGGUAAAAUGUCGGGGCUCAACCCCGGCCGGCCGUUGAAACUGGCGUGCUCGAGUUGGAGAGAAGUAUGCGGAAUUCGUGGUGUAGCGGUGAAAUGCAUAGAUAUCACGAAGAACCCCGAUUGCGGAGGCAGCAUACCGGCUCCACACUGACGCUGAGGCACGAAAGCGUGGGUAUCGAACAGG